rnacentral:rRNA from 1 species
GAUGGACGCUGGCGGCGUGCCUAAUACAUGCAAGUCGAGCGAACAGACGAGGAGCUUGCUCCUCUGACGUUAGCGGCGGACGGGUGAGUAACACGUGGAUAACCUACCUAUAAGACUGGGAUAACUUCGGGAAACCGGAGCUAAUACCGGAUAAUAUAUUGAACCGCAUGGUUCAAUAGUGAAAGACGGUUUUGCUGUCACUUAUAGAUGGAUCCGCGCCGCAUUAGCUAGUUGGUAAGGUAACGGCUUACCAAGGCAACGAUGCGUAGCCGACCUGAGAGGGUGAUCGGCCACACUGGAACUGAGACACGGUCCAGACUCCUACGGGAGGCAGCAGUAGGGAAUCUUCCGCAAUGGGCGAAAGCUUGACGGAGCAACGCCGCGUGAAUGAUGAAGGUCUUCGGAUCGUAAAACUCUGUUAUUAGGGAAGAACAAAUGUGUAAGUAACUAUGCACGUCUUGACGGUACCUAAUCAGAAAGCCACGGCUAACUACGUG